rnacentral:lncRNA from 1 species
UGGGUUUGAAGAAGUAGGGGGCUGAACUGAAGGUAAGUCUAAAGAGAUAGGUGGAUGUACUGAUGGUGGAUCUAAAGAGGUAAAGGGUUGUACUAAAGGUAGGUAUAAAGAGAUAAGGGGCUGUAUUGAUGGUAGGUCUGAAGAGAUAGGUGAUUGUACUGAUUGUGGGAAUAAAGAGGUAAGGGGCUGUAACAAUGCUGGCAUUGAUGAGGUGAUGGGCUGAUGACUAAUAUAUCUACCUCCCCUUCAAGAUGUUGAUCGACCUCAAAUAGGUGGUAGUCGAG